AUUGAACGCUGGCGGCAUGCCUUACACAUGCAAGUCGAACGGCAGCACGGGUGCUUGCACCUGGUGGCGAGUGGCGAACGGGUGAGUAAUACAUCUGAACAUGUCCUGUAGUGGGGGAUAGCCCGGCGAAAGCCGGAUUAAUACCGCAUACGAACUACGGAUGACAGCGGGGGACCUUCGGGCCUCGCGCCUUAGGGUUGGCCGAUGGCUGAUUAGCUAGUUGGUGGGGUAAAGGCCUACCAAGGCGACGAUCAGUAGCUGGUCUGAGAGGACGACCAGCCACACUGGAACUGAGACACGGCCCAGACUCCUACGGGAGGCAGCAGUGGGGAAUUUUGGACAAUGGGCGAAAGCCUGAUCCAGCAAUGCCGCGUGUGUGAAGAAGGCCUUCGGGUUGUAAAGCACUUUUGUCCGGAAAGAAAUCCUUGGCCCUAAUACGGUCGGGGGAUGACGGUACCGGAAGAAUAAGCACCGGCUAACUACGUG
rnacentral:rRNA from 1 species